AAAUACCUUCCCGUACGAUCACAGAAGUUAAGCAACGUCAAGUCUGAUCAGUACUUUGAUGGGUGACCGUUUAGGAAUACCGUG